rnacentral:tRNA from 1 species
ACCUAGCUAGCUCAGUCGGUAGAGCAUGUGAUUCUUGCUCUCAGCAUUAUAAGUUUGAGCCCUGUGUUGGGUA